rnacentral:lncRNA from 1 species
AGUGGAAAUACAUGUUUUUUAGGGUAUUACUAGAAAAGAAAGUAUGAUAAAGCGUGUCUGUAAUACUUUUAUUUUUACUCUGGUGGUAGUGGCGAGCUGAGAAGUUUCUACAUACAUGGAGUCCAGUAAACAUCUAUUGAACAAACACCAUCAAUAUGUACAAUUUUGGGCUAUAUAAUUUUAAAAUUGAUGGUGCCACCUAUUGGUGAUGACAUAAAGUGUAAAAUGAUCACUUACAUAGUAAGUUAUUUCAUGUUUUCCAAUCAUGUUACUUAUUCCCACAGAGAUUCUGUGAGGAGCUGGAAGGCAAGCUUGGUUCAUGCAGACAUGAGGCACUAAUGUUUUCAACUGGGUUGCUCUCCACUGGAUGCCUAUUAAAUGCUCAGCACUUUGGAGUAUACCAGAGAAGUAAAGACAUGGCCCCUGCCUUCAAGGAGCAUUUUAUCCAGUUGAUUUCCUAUCAUAAGGAUGUACAGGGUGGGACGCUACUUCAGACUGCUUUCAUGUCAAGAUCUGCCUCAUCUUCCAAAGUGGGAGUUCCCAGCAUUAGGCUUGUGGGGGUGGAAGCUUAAUCCGCCUCCUUCCAAAAACUGAAGUGAGUCACUACCAACCUUGUCUCUCCACCCUUUACUGGGUCCAUACACAGCCCUGCCUUUUUUUAAGGAGGUGGAACCCAGCCUAAGGUCUCCAUUAAUGUGGAAUUGAGAAAGGGCAUCUGUUCUGGGUCAUUCUGACUUCCAGACUAGAAUUUAUCUCAGCUCUUAAGACAGAGCUAUCUUAAGAUAAGUUCUUAAGAGCUAACUUAAGAAAUCUUAAACAGUUUUACAGAAGUGGGUAAAAUCUCUGCAAGUCUUUGAAGAAUAUUAGCAAUGAAAAUGGUUGUUAUUUUUUCAAAAAAUAAUAACAUGAACUUGGAAUGGAUAGUUAUUUUGGCCAGAAGAUUAACAUGAAUUCUCUGACACCUGGGCAGAUUCCCCAUCUGAUCUGUGCUCCUUCCCAUUUGAACAUUGGAUACCUUUGAGAAACCUUCUUGGAGCAUGUAGAAAAGCCAGUACAUGGGCAUGGACAUACACAUACCCCACCCUUACAUUCUUCUUUUUGUUUC